GUGUGAAAUAAAGAACUUACAAGGUUUGGAAAUAAAAUAUUAAUUUUACUUAAGUUGAAAAGGUACUUAUUCUAUGGCCAGUAUAUUUAAUGAGCAAUGGUAGCACCUGUGCCAGAGUUGGGCCAUUCAUUUUUUCUGACCUAUUUCUAGCUCUGUUUCUGGGCAAAAGCUUAGCAUAACUGCCCAAAUCACUACAUUUACUGGAGAAGGCCUCUUUCCCACCAUCCCACAGUUCAGUGCUAUCUUUGUAAGAGUGCUCAAGGAUGAAAAUGGAGGAGCAAGACCCCACAGGCAAUCCACAAAGGCUGGAAUCCACAGGAGCAGAAAAUGCCUUUAAUAACCUCCAGGAUGCUGUAGAUUGCAAACCCAGCGUGGGGGGAAGAAAUAGCUGUCCUGAAGCCAUUCACUCUGGAAGUAAUGGAGGAUUUUCCACAAGGACAACUUCCCAACAAGUAAAAGAAGAACCAGAAGAGUCUCUGGCCUAUUGCUGGGAAGCCCAGUGGCAAGAGUUUCUGAAAACAGUGGAAUCACCUCCCUCUGGGCUGGAAAUCCUUCAGUUGUCUGAGGCAUCCACACCUUGGAAUGACACCAAAGCUUUUUUAGCCUCCUUUGAGCAAGUGGCCAAAGCCUGUAGGUGGCCCAAAGAAGAAUGGGUGACUCAACUCCUGCCAGCUCUCACUGGAGAAGCUGAGAUGGCCUUCAGCAUGUUGGAAGGCAGAGACAGAGAAGAUUAUGGAAAGGUGAAGGCAGCCCUCUUGCGAGGAGAUGCUGUCAGCAGAGAGAAACAUCGCCAGCACUUCAGGCGUUUCUGCUACUUGGAGGCCAAGGGCCCAAGGGCUGUUUAUGGCCAACUCCAAGAACUUUGCCGGCAAUGGCUGAAGGUUGAGACACACACAAAGGAGCAGAUCUUGGAACUACUGGUCCUGGAGCAGUUCCUGAUGAUCCUGCCCCUGGAGAUCCAGAGUUGGGUGAGGCAGCAUGGCCCAGAAACCUGUGCCCAGGCUGUAAGCCUUGCUGAAGAUUUUCUGUAUAAACAGGAGAUUGAAAGACAAGCAAACCAGGUAGCUUUUGAGAAAGUGGCUGUGAAUUUCUCUGAGGCAGAACGUGCUGCAACUGAUGCUGAACAGAAGCAGCCAUACCGAGCACCCAAGCAGGAGGAUGAGUGUGACGCUGGCCUAUUGGCAGAUAAGGGGUGGAUGACCAUACAUGAGAGAGAGGAAGAUGUGGCCGAAGAUCCUGAGCAAGCAGGGCCUUGUGAGGUGUCCCUGUGGAAAGCAGAAGAGGUUGUUCCUCAGUGUUGUGUGCAGGAAAAGGCCUCAACUAAUCAGGAGAGACUGGAGUGUCAACAGAGCACCUUUGCAGGGGGUGAAGCAGAGGAAUCUGCCCAUUAUGGGGGAGAUUACAAGGCUAUCAUUGUAGCCACAAUCCAGACAGGAACUGACACUGGGCUUUUACUUCCCUAAAUCUGAUGGCCUCUAUGCUUGGAAGGAACUGAAGAAUCAAUGGGCUCUGGCUUGUGGAAGGAAAAAGCUCCCCAGGUAGCUGUUUCAGUAUAUAGUUGGCUUUUUCGUCUCAGAGAUGUAGGGGUCCCUGGGGGUGGGCAGCCAGCAAAUUCCCUAAUUUCUGUUUUAUCUUCAGUACGCAGACACAGCCUUCUACGUUAGUGAAUCAGGAGUGACACCUGAUUUGGGAAAAGUAUAUUUCUUGCAAGGCAAAAAUAUGUACUACUCACAUUUCACUGAGAAGUUGAAUGUGGAGAGGAAAACGGGUGUUGCCCAGAAAAAUACGUCUAGUCAUUCAUUGUCUGCAUUGAAGCAAGACAAGUUAGUUACAUAACUGGACACCUUUCUUAGGUAGAUCAUAUAUUGGUUAUGAUUCAGAUGGGCUGGAUUCACAAAACAUGCUGAGCCCCCCCAACUAACCAAAAUUAACCCUAACCAAGCAUAGCAUAUUGUAUGGAUAUCAUUGUUAGGCUUUUAUCUGAUCCAGGGAAGUGUGUUGUGUGAACACAGCCAAUGUGAGGAAUAAAAUUCAGACAAUGGCAAAUUACUUGCAUCAUUUACUUUGGGAAUUGGCAAUUACAGCAAAUGUAAUAAUAAUAAACACAUUUAGGAGUGCCCUGAAACUUUGCUACUUUGUUUGGUCCUUACUGGAUUUCUGUUUUGAUUCAAGCAGGUGAUGAAUGGGAGACGGAGGAUAAGGGAAGAUUUUAUGAACACCAUCAGAAGGGACGAGAAGCAGGAGGACAUGCUGUAGUUCAGCAAGAAGCGAACUAUGUGGGGAAGAGAGAGAAUAAAUCUUUUAUGAAAACGGAAGAUUGUGUGAACUGUCAGUCAAGUAGAACUAUCAGUGAAGAAAAAUAAGGAGCAUGUGUGUCACACUCAUUUGGGAAUCUUAAGGAAAAAACCAUAUAACCCCUUAGAAUUGGAACAGAGUUUCAGCUGAAUAAAUAGAUCAUUGACACCAGAGAAUCCACACAAGGCAAAAUAAAUGGAUUUUUUUAAUUUAAUUUUUUUGUCACAUUACUGACUCUUAAAAACCACUGAAAUGUCACACUAACAGUAAACUUUAAAAUGCUUUUAGUAUGCAAAGAACUGAAAUUAGAGUGCCAACCUUAUUUCACAUCCAGGAAAUGCACAGUGGGAGAAACAGAUAAAUACAGGGUGCAAAAUUUCUUUCAUUGGGGUUGAUACUAAUCACUCAAGCAGUUGCACUAAGUGUUGGUUGCUUUAAUCUUUGAGAUUAGGUUUCUUCAAAAACAGGCUUGCUGCCACCUCUAGAGUUCUCAAAAUGGUGUUUACAAUUUUGUAAAUCCACUUAGACAUUCCUUACCACUUAGCUAUAAUAAACAACAAAUGGUGACUGUAUGGGUCAUGAAUUGUCUUUCACUAAGAAUCUUGCCCAUGCCUUCCAAUUCAGUAUCUUAAAAUCAUUCAGUAAAUCAGAACACUCUACUAAUGGAACUGUUUUGACACUGGAUUCCAAAUUGACAGAACCAAGUGAUUUCAUUGCAGAGAAUCUUACGAAAUUAUUAUUUCUGAAGUCAGUUUUAAAGACCAGAUAUAAUUAAAAAUUAUACAAUUGUAGAAAAGCUUAUAUGCCUAUAAUAGAACUCUAUUGGCUUUACCAAUAGGAUUGUGUAUUAUAAUGAUUCCAGCAACAGAGAAUAGACACAACUUUCAAAUUAAAUCACAAUGAUUUACACUUCAGACAAAAUAAUAGAGCAUGCUUAUAACAUAGGGCCAAUUAUAUAUAAUGUUUAAAUAUAUGGGAUGUAUUAAACUGCCUUAUGUUCAAACUCUGGUUUCAUUCUUUUUCCUCAGUUCUAAUGAUUGAAGAAGAAACCUGCAUUAAAAAUUAUUUAUUACUUUCUUGGUAGUAAAAUGACAAUUUGUGGGUUCAGCUAUUAUACUUGGGAGUAUUUUCAGAUUAAUACUUUUCUUAAUAACUGAAGUGUUCGGAUUAUAUUUUUCUCUUCUGUAAAUUAAAACUGCAGUUUAAAUUGUACUGGGAAGCUAAUCAGCAGGCAAUGUAAGGCCUGUAACAUAGGUGUGAUAUGAUCCCAACAACAAAUACCAGU